rnacentral:misc_RNA from 1 species
UUUCCAUAUAUUUUAUUUUAUUUUUUCAUUUGUUUCAUUGUAUGAUGAAUAAAGUUCAAUAAUUAUGUCUCUGUAAUUUUCAAGAAAACACAAAUGUGCCAAUCUCCUAUCAAAUAUACAGACACCUUGCAACAAAGAAUUUGACAUAAAUUUCCCCCCCUUUUCCAAGAUAUUUUGGUCCCACAAUCCCCACCAUGUUUGAUGCUUGGGCUAUAAAAUAAUAGCACCAAUUAGUGGGAAUUCUUCACCAGUUGGUUCAUGAUGAUUGAUGAAUUUGGAGUCAACAAUUACCAGAUGAUAAAUGUUUCACCACUGACAAAUUUAACAUGAUUGUUGUAAUUCCUGCAACACCUAACAAGCAUAAUAAUGAAAAGGACUAAUUCCCAACAGUAUAUAUGGUUAACACAAUCAUUUCAGUACUGAAAGAAAAGACGAACGUAUUGGAGUGUUCACAAAUUCAUAAAUAUCUUGAAGAAUUUUUACCUGGCCCGAAAACCUUGGUAAAAUUCUGCAUUUGAAGGCUUACCCUCUUUGCACAAGGCUUCUUUUCAGCAUCAACCCAAGAUACACGUCUCAAUAUGUCAUCCGAUAUACUAAAAUCUUGGACCACUGAAACACAUUCAUCCUUGUAAGUGCUGCAGACAAGAAAAUUGACUGAUCCAAGUUAGGUGCAUGAAAUCAGAUAACUAUGACCAUCCUGGUUUAUCCCAAAAACUACCAUGGUAAGUUAGUAGCACAGUAAUCUGCAAUUGAUUGCAAGGCAAAGACAAAAGAAGAUGACUCAGAUUAAUAAAAACAAGAAAAUGCCAAAACGAAGAAAGGGGAAGACAAGAAAAUCUGCAGGGUUUUUUGGUAUCAAUUUUAUUCUGUAAAAACCACUUUCUUUGAUUUUCAUUAGCUGUAGAAUCCUGUUUUUCUAUUUUAACACAUUUAGCAAAAAGGUAUGUGUUUUAAUAUUAUUCAAUUUGACAAUUAGACAACAAAGACCAGAAAUCAAAAAUUGAAAAUAUCCAUACCACACAGGCCAACGAUUCCAUCAGAAAACUACAUUUCAUUCAAAACACUUUUAUUUUGGGUUCACAGUUUGCACAGGGAGGAAAGCUUGCUAAUCCUUGAUUACAAGACAUAGUAGUAGUACAUCAAUUGAUAAACCACACAAAUGGUAUCAGUGUUAUUAUUUGGACAAACUCAAAAUGUUGAGUCGCUUUCCUUUCUACAGCUUCGAAGCUGCGCCUUUGUCCAAAAACCACUUCAACUCCCCUUCAGGUGAAACCAUUUGAACAGGCAGCACAUCAGAAUUUUGAUCCUUUCCUAAUGCCCUUUGCACUGCAUCAGCUUUACCUGCACCACACACCACAAGGGCAAUAUAUGCAGACGAGUUUAUCACAGGGAAAGUAAAGGUAAUUCUCUCUGGAGGUGGUUUUGGUGAGUCCUUAAUGCAGGUAACCCAUUUCUCAUUUUCAUUACAAAGCCGAUGCCCAGGAAAAAGAGAAGCUACAUGUCCAUCUGGACCCAUACCCAAAAGCAUGAGAUCAAACUUUGGAAACCCCCUUGCUGAUGAUGCUUCUACCACCUUCAUAUUAACCAAAUGUUUAAUACAGGUUUCAUAAUCUUCGGCUGCACCCUCAGCUGAUAGGGCAUCAUUUAUGGCAUAAACAUUACCAGGAAGAAUUGGCACCUGAGCGAGAAAUCCAUCAUAUGCAAGUUUGUAGUUACUGUCAACAUGAUCCUUAGGGACCACUCUCUCAUCCACCCAUAGAAUAUGCCAUUUCGACCAUUCUAUCGAAUCAAUAUAAGGAGGUUCCAAUAGCUUCCUGAGAGACUCGAUGAGAGAACCACCAGACAAAACGACAGUGAAACAGCCUCUUUCUUUACAAAACUUUUCAGAUAGAUCAGCCGUAUAUUUGGCCAGAGACACCGCCAGAGCCUCCUCCGACUCAAAAAUCUCCACUUCUUUCUUCUUUCCAGCGGUCGUCGCCGUCGGAAUCCCAGCCAUGAACGACGCCUUCGUUCUGCAAUCAAAUCUCCUGGAUUCUGUUACGAUAACAGCCGAAGCCCCUGGUCUUACUCCAGUGGAGUAAUCGACUCUCUUGAGGUUAAAUGCUACCUGAGGUGAGAUUAGCUGAGCGUACGGUCUACACAGUCUUCGCACAGAGGAUGAGAAGGUGGACGCAGAGAGAGAGGAAGAUGCCAUUAGAGGGAGUAGAGAGUGGGCUUAUUUAUAGCCGCUCGAUGGUUGGAAAAUAGUGAGAGUGAACGGUGAUGAAGGGAGUAAGGGAGGAACGGUGGGUGGGGUGGGAGUUUUUGGUGUGAUGAGUAAGCGUUAACAACAAUGCAGGGGCGGCCAUUGAAGGACGCG